GCAGGCGAGCGCGAGUCCGGGGUCUGCGCGGCGCUGCUGGUGAAUAAAAAGGAGAGAGGAGGCGCCUCUUACUGCUCUGCCGGAAAACUGCAGCCUGCGCUCCUGAUUGGACUCACCGAGCCCUAAACAAACAGCGCUCGCCGAAGGGUGCCAGGCUGUGGGUCGGAACUGCGCUCUGCGAGCAGCUGGGCGCUGGAGUUGUGUGUGACCGACCUUAAACUUUCCCCGACCUCGUCUCGAGACCCUGGGGCUCAAGUUGUGGUGGCCGUCGGGGGUCGAGUCUCCUAUGAUACAGGAAAGAAGGAACUCGAGUGCCCAGCUCCCUCUCUCUGCCCUGCUCUUUAGAAAUAGACUAAAUUCCUGGGAAGUUUCGGGAAGUUCACGUCGGCACUCCCCAGCUAACCUGUGGGAACUUUUAAUUUGGGGUCUUGGUGGACGUAAAGGUUAGUCCGUGAGGGGCGCAGAAUGGAAAAGGGCUUCCACGCCAGUCGCACCCGGAGAUGCUCCCCGAGUUUUGGUGUCCCGUUUGCUCUGAGCUUUCCCUGGAGAACUUCAGGUAAGUCUCAGAUAAAUCGAUGGAAGGAGGGGGGUCACCGUCCCUGGACCCAGGGCGAAAUAGCGCUUCCCCACCCCCACCGUCACAUACACACCCCUUCUUCGCUCCCUCCAAAUGGUUAUCACAGCUGUGUACAAACUGAUACGGUCCUUGGCGGGCAGAGGGACUGGAAAUGAACGUCGCGGGGUUAUCAGCGCCGAUCUGUCAGCGGCGAGUCGCGCGGCCGCAAGUUCGUCCGCGGCAGGAGCCGUGAUAUAUGUCUCCUUCCCUUUCGCUCACGAAGAGGGUUUCUUCCGACAGACAUGACCCCAGAAGGCUGCCGAGAGAGAGUUUUAACUAGGGCAGGAGGAGUUGUUUGGUGGGAAUGGAUUUUUACACUUUUUUUUUUCCAGGUAAAUCGAAGUAAAUGAUUUUCUAAGGGUCAGUCUCCCUGAAAGCGGUUGGGCUGUUUGUUUAUUUUAUUUUAUUUUCGUGUUUUUCCAGUAGGCGAACGGAGAGGAGCUGAGCAGAGUUGGACCGGGCUGGGUAGGGGCACUGUGAAAUGUGGGGUCGAGAGACCGUGAGCCCUCGUCAUAGACGCCUGUGUCCUCUCAGUGUAACUGUGAGGUGUGAACCUGCGUGUCCUGGGAGGACAAGGGACAGGGCCUGCCAGCGCGGGGCAGGAAGAAGCGGAAUAGAGGAAGUUGGCGAUAAUUCUUUUUGUUUUGUUUUGUUUUUUUUUUCAUUCUUCGUUGUAAAUUGCUGCUAAACACUUCUGGAUUUUAAAUUGCUACUGAGAAGGUCCAUAAACCGUUCUCAUCCCA